rnacentral:rRNA from 1 species
CCUACGGGAGGCAGCAGUGGGGAAUAUUGCACAAUGGGCGAAAGCCUGAUGCAGCAACGCCGCGUGAAGGAAGACGGUUUUCGGAUUGUAAACUUCUGUUCUUAGUGAAGAAUAAUGACGGUAACUAAGGAGCAAGCCACGGCUAACUACGUGCCAGCAGCCGCGGUAAUACGUAGGUGGCAAGCGUUGUCCGGAAUUACUGGGUGUAAAGGGAGCGUAGGCGGGAAGCCAAGUCAGCUGUGAAAACUACGGGCUUAACCUGUAGACUGCAGUUGAAACUGGCUUUCUUGAGUGAAGUAGAGGUUGGCGGAAUUCCGAGUGUAGCGGUGAAAUGCAUAGAUAUCACGCAGAACCCCGAUUGCGAAGGCAGCCUUCCGGCGCCCUACUGACGCUGAGGCACGAAAGUGCGGGGAUCGAACAGGAUUAGAUACCCGAGUAC